rnacentral:rRNA from 1 species
CCUACGGGAGGCAGCAGUGAGGAAUAUUGGUCAAUGGACGAGAGUCUGAACCAGCCAAGUAGCGUGAAUGAUGACUGCCCUAUGGGUUGUCAACUUCUUUUAUAUGGGAAUAAAAUGUUCCACGUGUGGGAUUUUGUAUGUACCAUAUGAAUAAGGAUCGGCUAACUCCGUUCCAGCAGCCGCGGUAAUACGGAGGAUCCGAGCGUUAUCCGGAUUUAUUGGGUUUAAAGGGAGCGUAGGUGGAUUGUUAAGUCAGUUGUGAAAGUUUGCGGAUCAACCGUAAAAUUGCAGUUGAAACUGGCAGUCUGGAGUACAGUAGAGGUGGGUGGAAUUCGUGGUGUAGCGGUGAAAUGCUUAGAUAGCACGAAGAACUCCGAUGGCGAAGGCAGUUCACUGGACUGCAACUGACACUGAGGCUCGAAAGUGUGGGUAUCAAACAGGAUUAGAUACCCCGGUAGUC